GGGCACGGAUGGUCUUGCCGCGAUGCUGGUCAUGAUGGCAUAUUUCAAGGAAGCAGACGAUGGCCUUUUUGUCCUAGCUGAUGCAACAACGACGCCUGCUGAUGCCGAGAUGGAAUGCUCACUUCCCACCACCCCGAGGCUCAUUGUGUUAGGAGAAACCGCAUGGUCUGCGAACCGGUGGAUGCUGUCGAUAGAAGGCCGUAUUGUGAUCGCACAUUCACCACCCAUAC